rnacentral:lncRNA from 1 species
UUUGAGAUCAGCUCAAGAGACUAUUCACAGAUCUUUAGGGAUAUUUAAUGGCAGAAUAUCCUAAUAGAUAUCCGUACUUAUUCAUAUUUGAUAUCCCGGUCCCCUUACUCUAUAAAGUUUCAAGUGGACACCUGAACUUGUUCAAACAUGAUAUUCUAAACACCUCCACGGUUGUGUGUCUAUUAGGGUAUUCUGGACUCCGGACUCCGGACUCCUUCCCAUAGUAAAAGUUACCCUAACCCCUAUAAGUAGUUUUUUAUUUUUAAUCCCUUUGCUUCUUACUAACAGAAAUAAGAGAGGAAGAGCCGAAUAAGGAAUUGAGGGAGAUCAAAGAUCAAGGGACAAAGUAACGUUCGUAAUGGGUGCAAGACCGGGUAUGCUCUAAUUUUCUUCCUUGAAGUUUUAAGCUAUUACUUGUAGAUUUUAACGUGUGAUCAUAUGCGGAUUUAUAAUUUAAGUUCUAUAAUUUAAUUUUUAAGUUUUUAUCAAUGAAUUUAAUAUAUUUUUAUUAUUAUGAAUUCAAAUUAAUUAUUUAUUAUAAUUUUAAUGAAUAUUUAUAUAUAAAUUCGUACUUCGAUUUGAAAGUAGCAUCGGCUGAACUCGAUCCUAUAAGGCUUUGUUCGCCUUUGGGUGUGAUCGUAUUAAUGAAAACUCUACUUUAUGAAAGUCCUACACGAGUUAUUCAUAUUUUUUUUGUAAACGUUAUAUUGAUCUUUAAACUUCCACGAUUGAAGUCGUAUUAGUCCUUAGUUAUUACAGAUUAGAUUUCUGCAUAUAUUAUUUUUGUUUAUUUUUUAUUUUUAAAAAGUUGCCAAGCAAUUGAAUUACUUUUUAAUUAUUUUUCUUUAAAACGUUAUUUAUACAUUAGAAUUUGUAUUUAAAAGGAACAUGUAGUUUAGUACUUGUUUAUCGUAUUAUUUACUUAAGCAGAAGCUUAUACAAUGCUUUAUUGUCAUAGAUCCGUGGUCACAGUAUCGAAUAAUGAGGAUUAUUAUUCAAGAUGACACCUACAGAGACGUGAUUAAUUGGCGUUCAUUAUCAUUAUCAUUUUUGCCGCAUGGAUUUGAGGAUAUUAUAGAUGUGUAACACCCCGGAAACAAAUUCGAAAUACUUAAACGCUAGUAAGAAAGUUGAUGUGCGCUAAUUAUAUUAUUUUGUAUGCAGACAAGGGCUAUUAAUAUAAUGGAUAUCAAUUAGAUAUAAUAAUAAGUGUACGAGGCAUAUUAUAAGUAAUGUGGGGUCUAAGAAGAGCCCCAAGGCUAUGUCAAGUUGAAAAUUAUAUGAUGGGAUAAUAUUUCAAGUGAGUUCGCACAAGACCUACCUUCAAACGAGCAUAACUGGCAUGAUAUGAAGAGUUAUAUGGUGCAUUACCUAUCAAUAGAAAGGUUUAUGUGUCUAAUUUCUAAUUCUUCAAACCGUUCAUCAUUCGGACAUACAUACAAUACGUUAUGACCAAAUUACCAAAGGAUGACAGAAGGUGAUUCUGCGGCCAAUUCUGCGAUCGCAAAAGUGAUUAUGCAACCACAAAACUGGUCGCAGACCUGGCCAACGUAGCCCAGUUCUGGGAAUCGAUUCUGUGGCGCAUUGUGCGACCCGUAUACCCAUUCUGCGGUCCAUUAUGUGACUGCAAAUCUGAUUUCGAAGAGUUAAUUUUUCUAUUUUCAUAACCCGACCCAAUUUUGAUAAAUAGGUUUUGGGGCUUAUUUUGGGGGGUUUUUCUUAGGGUUUUAGAGAGAGGUAAGAUAAUUUUAGAGAGAGAAGGAGGAAACCUAACAUUCUAAUCAUCCAAUCUUGCACCAAUCUUCAAGAAUCAAUGAAGCUAAUCACAAGAUCUUCAUCUAAGAGGUAAUGUUCUAUACCCUAAUCUUUAAUUUCGAGUUUGGGGUAAACGAUGGGUGAUUGAGAGUAUGAUUCUUGGGUGUAAGAGUAUUAUGUAUACAUGUAUGGAUUUAUUAUGAAAAUAUGAGUAUGAAUCAAGUAUUGGAACUCAUGGUAUAGUGAUUGGAAGCCAUAAAUUCUCAAUUUAAAUGAAUACCCAUUGUAGAAAUUGAAAAUUGAUUAUUUGAUGGAAUUUUGUUGGUUGGGUGAGAAUGGUUGGUCACACAUGUGAUGUUAGGAUUAUAAGUUAUUAAAGAAUGAUGGUGGGAUGAAUUAUUGGUAAAUGAUGGUAGUUGGAAGAACUAAUUCUAUGGUUAAGAAAUGUAUAAAUGUAAGCCCACUAGGUAUUUGGUAAAUUAUCUAAAUGGCCUAAACUAUGGAAUUAGUUACUAAUGUUGGUCCCAUUGGAAGUUGAUAUUGUAGAUUGAAAUUACUUAGCAUAGUAGAUCGUUGUAGUAUCAUUAAGAGGUGAAUUUCAGUUUCGAAUCGUUGGUGUUGAAUUGAGGAGACAAGAAGGCAUUCAGAGGUGGAUAUGCACAGAAUGAAAUUUCCUGAGUAUUGAUUAGCUUGCACGACGUUGGGUUCGUCUUGUUGAGGUAAGUAACACUUCUAAAAUCGGAGCUGAGGGUAUGGACCCUGAAUAUACGUGUUAUGUUAUUUAUUUGGAGGUGACAAACAUGCUAGGUGACGGGCGUGUGGGCGUGCACCGUUGAAAUUAUGACGUAAUUGAUUUAGUGGAAUUUUAUAGUAAACUAAUCUUGGCAUUUUCCUUGUAUUGUCAUAUGUUAAAGGAAUUUGAGCUGAGAAUCAUGUUAAAAUCAUGCUGAGGCUAUAUGCCAGUAUUAUUGAGACCCAUAGAGGUCAUAUUGUUGUUGAAUUUGUUUAAAUUGAAAUUUGAAACUCAGUCAUGUUCAUUCAUUUCAUAUCAUAUCAUAUCUCAGUCUCUGUUGCUAUUUAUUGAUACAUUAUAUUAUUAUUUUGGGCUAGUUUUCAUGACAUCAUAAACCCGAGAAACUGGAGAGGUUGAUGACUGAGUGAGGCCGAAGGCCUAAUUGUGAGGAUAUUUAUGGGAUUGGGCUACACAGCGCAACAUGUUCAUUGUUAUAUGCCAUGAUUGGCUUGUAUAGCGUUUGGGCUGAAAGAGCCCCUCCGGAGUCGGUACACACCCCUAGUGAGCGCAGGUACCUACUGAGUGCGAGUGCCGAGUGAUUUGGGAGGAUUGAGUGACUGUGAGGCAUGGGUGACUGAGAGGAUUGAGUGAUUGAGAGGACUGAGUGACUGAGAGGAUUGAGUGACUGCGAGGACUGAGUUAAUUGAUAUUCCGAGAGUAUGCAUAUGGUUUUAUCACUAUGUUGUAUUGCAUUGACAUGCACAUUGACAUGUAGGCAUAGAGAUGUACUUUUCUCAUGCCAUUUGAAAAUAAAAUUUCCUAUCGUGGAAGAAAAUUUUUGGGAAAAAUUACAGUUUUCAGACUUACUCAUAUUUUGGUAAUUUCAGUGAAAAGAAUUGAGUUUUACUAUUAUACUUGAAAAGAAAAUAUUUAUUUUUUUGGAACUGUGAACGAGCUGAGCAUUUUAUUAUUGAGUUAUUCUUUGUGUUGCCUCAAUCUUUGAGCAUUUUACUGGAUAUUGGUGUGGAUUCUGACCUUGGUACAAGCUCGUCGCUACUUUCAACCUAAGGUUAGGUUUGUUACUUAUUGAUUACAUGGGGUCGGUUGUACUCAUACUAUACUUCUGCACCUUGCGUGCAGAUUUUGGAUGCUGAUGUUGCUGUGCAUGGCGGGAGAUAGCAUUGAAGAUGUACCUACGAUCCAGUCACAGCUGCCUCUUGUUCUUGGUAGCUUUAGAAUUAUUAAUCUGUUCAUGUAUAUUUCAAACAGAUGAUGUAUUUUAUUGCACACCAACUUUGUAAAUUCAAAUCUUAGAAGCUCACAAUUUGUACUACCAGUCCUUGGGGAGUGCAUUAGAGUCAGUUAAAUAUUAAUUGAAUCGUAUUGUUGUUAUUUGACUUACCUAGCAGGUGAGGUUAGGUAUCAUCACGGCUAGUUGGAUUUUGAGUGGUGACAAGAUG